AAUCAACGCUGGCGGCGUGCCUCAGACAUGCAAGUCGAACGAUUAAAGCUCCCUUCGGGGAGUGCAUAGAGUGGCGCACGGGUGAGUAACAAGUAAGUAAUCUACCCUCGAGUGGGGAAUAACAGUCGGAAACAACUGCUAAUACCGCAUAAUGCAGCGGCACCGCACGGUGUCAGUUGUGAAAGGAGCAAUCCGCUUGAGUGGGGGCUUGCGGCAGAUUAGCUAGUUGGUAAGGUAACGGCUUACCAAGGCUACGAUCUGUAUCCGGUCUAAGAGGACGGUCGGACACACUGACACUGAAUAACGGGUCAGAAUCCUACGGGAGGCAGCAGUCGGGAAUUUUGGGCAAUGGGCGAAAGCCUGAACCAGCAACGCCGCGUGAAGGAUGAAGUAUUUCGGUAUGUAAACUUCGAAAGAAUAGGAAGAAUGAAUGACGGUACUAUUUAUAAGCUCCGGCUAACUACGUGCCAGCCGCCGCCGUAAUAC
rnacentral:rRNA from 1 species